GUAGUACUCCCUCCGUCCCAAAAUAAGUGACUCAAAACUUACUCAACUUUGUACUUAGUACAAAGUUAAGUACAAAGUUGAGUAAGUUUUGAGUCACUUAUUUUGGAACGGAGGGAGUAUUAG
rfam:Triticum aestivum genome assembly, contig: Triticum_aestivum_CS42_TGACv1_scaffold_641713_T_2BL-0.251571_3B-0.201786